rnacentral:rRNA from 1 species
GAUGAACGCUGGCGGCAUGCCUAACACAUGUAAGUCGAUCGGUAAGGCUCUUCGGAGUACACGAGAGGCGGACGGCUGAGUAACGCGUAGGAACACACCCUGCAGUGAGGGAUAAGACACCGAAAGGUGUUCUAAUACCGCAUACGGUCUUCGGAUUAAAGCAUUUAUGCGCUGAAGGAGUGGCCUGCGUCAUAUUAGAUAGUUGGUGAGGUAAUGGCUCACCAAGUCGAUGAUGUGUAGCUGGUCUGAGAGGAUGAUCAGCCAGACUGGAACUGAGACACGGUCCAGACUCCUACGGGAGGCAGCAGUGAGGAAUAUUUCACAAUGAGCGAAAGCUUGAUGGAGCAAUGCCGCGUGCAGGAUGAAGGCCCUCGGGUUGUAAACUGCUUUUAUAAGAGAAGAUUAUGACGGUAACUUAUGAAUAAGGGACGGCUAACUACGUG